AUGAAUUACGAGAAAGAUAGGCCCUAUUCUAUUACCAUUAGGCUCUAUUCUAUUACAGAUAGGCCCUAUUCUAUUACAGAUAGGCUCUAUUCUAUUACAGAUAGGCCCUAUUCUAUUACAGAUAGGCCCUAUUCUAUUACAAAUAGCCUCUAUUCUAUUACAGAUAGGCCCAAUUCUAUUACAGAUAGGCCCUAUUCUAUUACAGAUAGGCCCUAUUCUAUUACAGAUAGGCUCUAUUCUAUUACAGAUAGGCCCUAUUAUAUUACAGAUAGGCCCUAUUCUAUUACAGAUAGGCCCUAUUCUAUUACAAAUAGCCUCUAUUCUACUACACAUAGGCUCUAUUCUAUUACAGAUAGGCUCUAUUCUAUUACAGAUAGGCUCUAUUCUGUUACAGAUAGGCUAUCUCAAAAUAUGUUUAGACUAUAUUUACAAAUAACGCCAUUGACGUGUCAUCUGUCAUUGUGUUCAACGUAGGCUACUCAAAUGUCCCGUUCUGCAAGGGGUUAUUUUUGACGCCACUAAAUUAAAUGCGUACGUUGGAGUCCGUGCAUCGUAAACAACAGGUGUAGAUUAGCAGUGAAUUUAUGAUAUAGUCGUAAUGAAAAUGUUGCAUGCUUUGCCCCGGAGCAAACCACACGAAACAGCAGCUGUUGAUGCAUGCAGCCGCCGAAUUUCAAUAGACGAGACUUUAGCGGGCUGGUUUCAAUGAAUUGUAUUUCUAAAGGAAACAUAUUAAGUCAAUGUAUUUUUAAUUUAAACGAUUCUUUAUUUUUGUACACCGAUCCUCUCCCUGCACUACGGAGCAGAUGCCAUACUUAGCUUCAUUAAAAAGUAAUGAAUGAAAACAUGUAGCGCCAUUGUGUCACAAGGACUCCAGGUAAACCCAGCGAGGAGUUUCAACUGUUUGUAUGAUUUUGCCUUCCACUUGUUUUACCUUGCAUGUAAUGGCAUUCAGACAUGCCGUGUGUAUGACAGCAGGCGUCUGUUGCUCGUUGCAUGCAUAUUAACAGGCAAUGUUAGGUGUGUGGUCGAUUUUAGUUGGAGGUUUGGUUAUAUGCGCUAUAGCCUAUUCUGCAGCCCAUAACGCAGCUAAGCAAUUGAAAUAUGUACGUCUGUAGGCUACCGUAUGUAUGAAUUAAUACAAUAUUUACAGUGAACUACAUGGAUGUUGAACGAAAGAAAGGCGUAUAUUCCUACAGUCCUGUACUAAUCCACAUGUAGGCUAGGUAUGAUUGCUGUUCAGUUGAAGCAGUGAAGAAAACAACCUAGUCAAGCUAAUAUCAGGAAAGUAUCGGCCUAUCUGACAACAAAAAGCAUGGUUAUUCGCAUUUGAACUUAAUUUCAUUAUUGGUCCUAUUGCAUGCAGUUAAUUGACAAGUAUUAUAAACCACAUUGCUGUAUCAUUGUUAUUAUAAUAAUUAUGAUUAUUAUGUUGUAAGGAUUAAUGUUAUUAUUAUUAUUUGCAACUACUUCGACGCAACAUGUAGAUAGAUUUUAAUUCAUGCCUACAUGUAAAACCAAAUCAGGAAGGCUAUGUUCAUUAAAAAAACUACGUAUAAUUGGAUGCAUUGCAUACUAUUUGAAAACAUAGUCCUGGAAAAGAAACGAGUUGCAUGAUUACUUGCAUGACCAGGAGAUUGAUCUCGGAGCGAAUUAAAUGUUGUGAUUUGUAAACGGGAAAAGGGUACCUCUACAGAAGAUAUAGACCAGUUAGGACCGUUAACCAAACAACGGGUGGGAUCAAAGCCUUGAUUGAACACCAAUACGAAAUUAUUAUAAAUACUAAUGAAAUAAUACACGAUAAUAAUAAUAAUUUUGUCUAGGUAUUCAUUCGUGACUUAUUAUUAUUAUUAUUAAUAGACCCUAUUUGUUUUUAUUAUUGGGCUAUUAUGGUAGAAUUGGGAAUAAGAUGGAAUAGGCCUAAGUAACAUGGGGACUUGAAUAUUCACCAAAUAUUGCAAUUGCAUAUUACAUGAUACUAUAUUUAGAAACGUAUGGAAAAAAAACAUCAGCACAGGACUACAAUCUACAUCGGCACAGGACUACAAUCACCAACCAUAAUUUAUCAUUUCAUUUUAAGCAGUACAAGUCAACCAUGCAUUCAACAUGUCAUGUGGUUGACAAGGCGUCCACAUUUCCUCUAAAAUAGCAAUUGUGACAAAAAUCUUAUGUUGCCAAACAGAGAGUUAUUGCGCAGAUGUUACAACAAGUCUCACUGUAACCGAGUGACAUUGAGCCAACAAUCGACAGGUUAGUAUUAAUUUCAUGUAUCAGUGCUAUUUUGUUUGGCCUACUCCUGGGUGUCUAAAAGAGUAAUAGACUGACGACUGGGAAUAUCAAUAGUCUUGUCUCAAUCGAUUGAUUGCAUCGAUAGCAUUUCCUGUGAAGUCAAAAUAAAAAGGGACAGUCAUCAGCAGUUUUGUCGAAUUUUUUCUUCUCCAAAAUGUUUACACCAGCACUCCAGAACAAUUACAUUUUUUGUGCGACAAAUUUCUCUCUCACAUUGCGCGGGACAAAUGAUUUCAUAUGGUGGGUGCAAAGCCUUUUUAAGAGCAAUUAACUGCGACUAUCCUUGUAAAAAUGUUCAUUGUGGAAUACAUGUUCUGCAUCAUUUAAACGUCUGCCUUUUACGAGCUCGACGUGAUGGCUGUGUAACCCCGCAUUUUUUGGUAUUUUCUUCACAUAUUCCUGCAGUUUUAACACCGUAGGCACAGCCGCAGGACCAGACCCCGGAAGAGAGAUGUGCAGCUGCAAUCCGGGCUGCAGCAGCAAAAUACGCUAUUCAUUUAUUUUUUAGUCUACAGGUCGUCAAUCCAAUAUGCUAAUCUUUCAUCAACAAAAAAAAAUGCCCAUGGCUAUGCAGAGCAGCUAACAUCAAUCAUCGAAUUGAUUGAUUUACAAUUAAAUGUAAAACAGUGCUUUCAAGCACUGCAUUAUCUUGUACACUUGUUAUUUAUCUAUGACCUAUUCCAUUUAGGCCUAUAUAUUGGCAUAUACACAUAGGCUACAUACACUACAUUAUCAAAGGUAUGUGGACACCUGCUCGUCGAACAUCUCAUUCCAAAAUAAUGGGCA
rnacentral:lncRNA from 13 species